rnacentral:rRNA from 1 species
AUGGAGAUGGUGGAGAAGCUUUCUCUCACCACAAGACCACAUCCACAUCCUUACUACAUCCAAUGGUUCAACAACAGCGGCAAGGUUAAGGUAACACGUACUGUUCGUGUGCAUUUUAGUAUCUCUACAUAUGCUGAUUAUGUUGAUUGUGAUGUGGUACCUAUGCAAGCAUGUUCCUUAUUACUUGGUAGACCAUGGCAAUUUGAUAAAAAUUCAGUACACCAGGGUAGAAACAAUCACUAUACUAUUGUUCAUAAGGAUAAGAAUAUUACUUUGCUUCCUAUGACUCCUGAUUCCAUUUUGAAAGAUGAUAUUAAUAGAGCUAAUAAAGCACAACAGGAGAAGAAUAAGAGUGAAAAUCAGAUUGUGGCCAAAGAAUUUGAGCAACAAAUGAAGCCUAAUAAUAAACCAUCUAGUGUUGCUUCUGAAAUUAAAUUGAAAAGUGCAUGUUUAUUUGCCACCAAAUCUGAUAUUGAUGAGCUAGAUUUCAGCAAAUCUGUUUGCUAUGCUUUUGUGUGCAAAGAGGCAUUAUUUUCAUUCGAGGACGUGCCUUCGUCUUUGCCUCCUGCUGUCACUAACAUUUUGCAGGAGUUCGCUAACGUUUUUCCACAAGACGUGCCACCGGGAUUACCGCCUAUUCGAGGGAUUGAGCAUCAGAUUGACUUAAUUCCCGGUGCUUCACUGCCAAACCGUGCACCAUACCGUACCAAUCCAGAGGAGACGAAGGAGAUUAUGCGUCAAGUACAAGAGCUUCUCGACAAAGGUUAUAUACGCGAAUCCCUUAGUCCUUGUGCUGUUCCUAUUAUUCUAGUGCCGAAAAAGGAUGGUACAUCACGUAUGUGUGUUGAUUGUAGAGGCAUUAAUAAUAUUACUAUUUGUUAUCGUCAUCCUAUUCCUAGGCUAGAUGAUAUGCUUGAUGAAUUGAGUGGCUCUACAAUAUUCUCCAAAGUUGAUUUGCGUAGUGGCUACCAUCAAAUUCGUAUGAAAUUGGGAGAUGAAUGGAAAACAGCAUUUAAAACUAAGUUUGGAUUAUAUGAGUGGUUAGUCAUGCCUUUUGGGUUAACUAAUGCACCUAGUACUUUCAUGAGAUUAAUGAACGAAGUUUUACGUGCUUUCAUUGGACAAUUUGUGGUAGUUUACUUUGAUGACAUAUUGAUUUAUAGCAGAUCUUUGGAAGAACAUUUGGAACAUUUACGUGCUGUUUUUAUUGCUCUACGUGAUGCACGUUUGUUUGGUAACCUUGGGAAGUGCACCUUUUGCACCGACCGAGUAUCUUUUCUUGGCUAUGUUGUUACUCCACAGGGAAUUGAAGUUGAUAAAGCCAAGAUUGAAGCUAUUGAGAGUUGGCCGCAGCCCAAAACGGUCACACAAGUGAGGAGUUUUCUUGGCCUCGCUGGAUUCUAUAGGCGUUUUGUGAGAGAUUUCAGCACCAUUGCUGCACCUCUCAAUGAGCUUACAAAGAAAGAUGUGCCUUUUCUUUGGGGUACCGCACAGGAAGAAGCCUUCACGGUAUUGAAAGAUAAGUUGACACAUGCUCCUUUACUCCAACUUCCUGAUUUUAAUAAGACUUUUGAGCUUGAAUGUGAUGCUAGUGGAAUUGGAUUAGGAGGUGUGUUAUUACAAGAUGGCAAACCUGUUGCAUACUUUUCUGAAAAAUUGAGUGGGCCUAGUCUGAAUUAUUCUACUUAUGAUAAAGAAUUAUAUGCUCUUGUUCGGACUUUAGAAACAUGGCAACAUUAUUUAUGGCCCAAAGAAUUUGUUAUACAUUCUGAUCAUGAAUCUUUGAAACAUAUUAAAAGUCAAGCUAAACUUAAUCGUAGACAUGCUAAAUGGGUUGAAUUCAUUGAGACUUUCCCUUAUGUCAUUAAACACAAGAAGGGAAAAGAAAAUGUUAUUGCUGAUGCAUUGUCUCAUCGCUAUACUAUGCUUUCACAACUUGACUUCAAAAUAUUUGGUUUGGAGACCAUCAAAGAUCAAUAUGUGCAUGAUGCUGAUUUUAAAGAUGUAAUGCGGAAUUGUAAAGAAGGAAGAAUGUGGAACAAGUUUGUUGUUAACGAUGGAUUUGUGUUUCGUGCUAACAAGCUAUGCAUUCCAGCUAGCUCCGUUCGUCUUUUGUUGUUGCAGGAGGCGCAUGGAGGAGGAUUAAUGGGACACUUUGGCAUGAAGAAGACGGAGGACGUACUUGCUACACAUUUCUUUUGGCCAAAGAUGAGGCGGGAUGUUGAGCGUUUUAUUGCUCGCUGCACUACAUGUCAAAAAGCUAAGUCACGACUCAAUCCUCAUGGUUUAUAUAUGCCUUUGCCUGUACCUAGUGUUCCUUGGGAGGAUAUAUCUAUGGACUUUGUUUUAGGUUUACCUCGAACAAAGAAUGGGAGGGAUAGCAUAUUUGUUGUCGUGGAUAGAUUCUCGAAAAUGGCACACUUUAUACCAUGUCAUAAAAGCGAUGAUGCUGUUAAUGUUGCUGAUUUGUUCUUUCGUGAAAUUAUUCGCUUGCAUGGUGUGCCAAAUACUAUUGUUUCAGAUCGUGAUACUAAAUUUCUUAGCCACUUUUGGAGAUGUUUAUGGGCUAAGUUGGGGACUAAACUGCUUUUUAGUACUACUUGUCACCCCCAAACUGAUGGACAAACUAAAGUAGUCAAUAGAAUGUUGUCUACUAUGCUUAGGGCUGUUUUGAAGAAUAAUAAGAAAAUGUGGGAGGAAUGCUUGCCUCAUAUUGAAUUUGCUUAUAAUCGUUCAUUGCAUUCUACUACUAAGAUGUGCCCUUUUGAAGUUGUGUAUGGUUUCCUACCUCAUGCACCUAUUGAUUUGUUGCCUCUUCCAUCUUCGGAGAAGGUUAAUUUUGAUACUAAACAACGUGCUGAAUUGAUUUUAAAAAUGCAUGAGUUAACUAAGGAAAACAUUGAGCGCAUGAAUGCUAAAUAUAAACUUGCUGGAGAUAAGGGUAGAAAACAUGUUGUGUUUGCACCUGGAGAUCUUGUUUGGUUACAUUUGCGUAAGGAUAGAUUUCCUGAUUUGCGCAAAUCAAAGUUAAUGCCACGUGCUGAUGGUCCCUUUAAGGUGUUAGAGAAAAUAAAUGAUAAUGCAUAUAAACUUGAGCUGCCUGCAGAUUUUGGGGUUAGUCCCACUUUUAACAUUGCAGAUUUGAAGCCUUAUUUGGGUGAGGAAGAUGAACUUCCGUCGAGGACGACUUCAUUUCAAGAAGGGGAGGAUGAUGAGGACAUCAAUACAAUUGUUACACCCACAGCCCCUGCUGCUAUACAUACUGGACCAAUUACUAGAGCUCGUGCACCCCAACUAAAUUACCAGGUACUUUCGUUUCUUGGUAAUGAUUCUAAUGUUCAUGAGAAUAUGAUGCUGCCUAAAUUGGAUACAUUUGUUUUGCUUACAAAUGAAGGGCCUAGCUUGGAGAAGGAUGAACAUUGGAGCAAGAACAAGCAUGGAGAUGAUGGCAUGCGCAAGGGGAACAAGAACGGAGUUACAAGUGAUGAUUUCAGGACUUUGAAGCCACCAUAA